CAUGUCCCGCAGCAAUGCGGGAUGAUGGCGACCGGCAAACGGGUGCGGAACACGUACACAACCUUCCUUUAAGUGGGGAAUAGCCCGGGGAAACCCGGAUUAAUACCCCGUAAUAUAAUGGAGUGGCAUCACUUUAUUAUUAUAGCUCCGGCGCUUGAAGAUGGGUGUGCGACUGAUUAGGCAGUUGGCGGGGUAACGGCCCACCAAACCUACGAUCAGUAACUGGUGUGAGAGCACGACCAGUCACACGGGCACUGAGACACGGGCCCGACUCCUACGGGAGGCAGCAGUAAGGAAUAUUGGUCAAUGGACGCAAGUCUGAACCAGCCAUGCCGCGUGGAGGAUGAAGGUCCUCUGGAUUGUAAACUUCUUUUAUCUGGGAAGAAAUGCAUUUUUUCUAAAGUGUUUGACGGUACCAGAUGAAUAAGCACCGGCUAACUCCGUGCCAGCAGCCGCGGUAAUACGGAGGGUGCAAGCGUUAUCCGGAUUCACUGGGUUUAAAGGGUGCGUAGGUGGGUUGGUAAGUCAGUGGUGAAAUCUCCAGGCUUAACUUGGAAACUGCCGUUGAUACUAUCAAUCUUGAAUGCCGUGGAGGUCAGCGGAAUAUGUCAUGUAGCGGUGAAAUGCUUAGAUAUGACAUAGAACACCAAUUGCGAAGGCAGCUGGCUACACGAAAAUUGACACUGAUGCACGAAAGCGUGGGGAUCAAACAGGAUUAGAUACCCUGGUAGUCCACGCCCUAAACGAUGGAUACUCGACAUACGCGAUAUACUGUGUGUGUCUGAGCGAAAGCAUUAAGUAUCCCACCUGGGAAGUACGAUCGCAAGAUUGAAACUC
rnacentral:rRNA from 1 species